CCCCGCACCUGCGCUCUUUCAGUACCGUUCCUCUUCGAUUCGCGUUCACUUCUAUUCCCUCGUCGGAAUUUUCGCCUAAAACAGGAUGCGAAAAGAUCGUAACAUAUCAACCACAUAUCACACACAAUGAUAAAAUGGUCAGUUAAACGUUAAAUUUGAUUAAAUUUCAACGAGGUGUCAACGAUUAAUACGAAUAUGCCGAAGAGACAGGCGAAUCGUGUGUGCAUCGAAAUCUUUUUUCUAUUUUCCAUAUGGAACGUGAUAAAGUGUUACAGCGUGCCAUGCACGUUCAACACGAUGUGCAUGUGCUGGAUACAGGACGACGAGGACUUCACGAAGAUGGAUGUCAGCUGCGUGGGAAUACCUUUCGCCAGAUUCCCGGACGUCGAGGUGAGUUACGUGGCUCAGCUGGACGUCGUUGGGUCAGGACUGCAAGCUUUAGACAACGACGUGCUCGGAAGCUCGGUAGACGUCGAGGCAUUGGGAUUGAUGAGCAAUCGACUGUUCAACAUCGGCGAAAAAUCCUUUUCAGGAAUCGCGGACAGUUUACGUUCACUGGAUCUCAGUUAUAACGCCCUGGAGGACGUGCCGUUCAAGGUUUUUCGCGACUUGAGAAAACUCAAUUGGCUCAACAUGCACAGCAAUCAUUUGACGACGCUAGACGGCGACUGGGGCCACCUGAAAGACACCCUAACGAACGCGUUCUUCGGGGACAACUCGAUCAUCGAGAUACCAAAAAUAUUCUCCACGUUCGAAUCCCUGGUCUGGUUGAAUCUUGACAAUAAUAAUAUCGAGGAAUUUUCAGAAGGCAGUCUACCGCCUAAUAUACACACGUUAAGCCUGAACAACAACUUGCUCAAGCAUUUCCCAUCGUCUCUGAAGGUUUUGAAAGACCUUUUGUGGUUGUACCUCAGAGGAAACGAGUUCAAAAGCCUCGAGCUUCCCGACUUUCUAAGCUCAGACUUAGAACUGGUCGACGUCAGCGAGAAUUGCAUCGAAAGGAUCAAAACACCGAAGCUGGCUAACCGAACGCUGAAGAUCAAAGAUUUUAAUCUAGACAGUAAUAAAUUGGGCUCGUUGCCCGCAGGCGUUUUCGACCGUCUUGAAGUCAAGAGAAUACACCUGUCGUCGAAUUCUAUAAAAAACGUCGACGACGACGCGUUCCGUGGAUUAGAAGAUAUUUUAGAAUACCUGAAUCUGGAGAACAACGAUCUGCCCGGAGUACCUGCGGCCGUUAGUAAAUUAAAAAAACUAUCAUAUCUGUACCUCGCUAAUAACGAUGUGAAAAACAUAUCUGGGGACGCGUUUAACGAGUUUGCGGAUAAUCUCCGGGCACUUUCGCUGGCUACCAAUAAUUUGGACGCCGUUCCAGUCGCCGCGCUGUCCAGGUGUCAGAGGCUGUUGCAUCUUAAUUUGGGCUACAACAAGAUCUCGUAUAUACAGCCGGGCGAUUUCGAAUGGGCAGAGGACCUUGAGAUUCUCCUGCUUAGAAACAACGUGUUGACCAAACUGAAAGAGAAAACCUUCAAAGGAGCGAGCAAGUUGAAAGAGCUCAGUCUGUCUUUCAAUCAUUUGACAGAGCUAGAUGACAAUUGCUUUACCGGUAUCGAGGAGAGCCUCGAGAUCCUCGAACUGAGUUUCGCCUUCGGUACGGACGUGUUUCCUCAACGAGCUCUCAGACCCCUUUCGAGCUUGCUCUGGCUGGUCCUGGACAAUAACAAUUUCCAGACGAUAGACGCCACGGCGUUUUAUUCCUUCCAACAAUUGCGGUACAUCAAUCUGGAAUCGAAUCGGCUUCACUAUUUGCCGGAACGAAUAUUUCUAUCCAGCGUCCACCCGGAACUGAGAGACGUGAAACUCGGUUACAAUUUCCUCGAAGCUAUUCCAGACGUCAGCUUCCAUAAUCUGACAGAAUUAAAGUCUUUAGAUUUAACGGGAAAUAGAAUAAAGAUUCUCAACUCGGACUCGAUUAUAGAUUGUCCGAAAUUAGUAACGAUAUCGUUGGCGUAUAAUAGAAUCGUUAAAAUGGAGAGGAACGCGUUUUACGGUUUGCCUAGUCUUCGCUUCCUGCAUUUGGAGUUUAAUAAAUUAACAGUGCUAGAUCUGGAAGUGAUAUCUGAAAUCGGUGGCCCUGAUUUCGCUCUCAACGUGUCGUACAAUGCGAUAUCAAUCAUAAAUUCCGGAGGAUCUAUGAACAAUUUGACCAGACUCGACCUGAGCUUUAAUAAUAUUAGUCAUCUGCCUGCUGACACGUUCCACGGCACGCCAGACCUCAAGAGUUUAGAUCUGCAAAGCAAUUUCAUCUCGGUCCUACAAUCCGGAACUUUCACCCUAAGACACUUGGAAACAUUGAACUUGCGAAACAAUAAGAUAGAAGGUUUAAGAAAACAAUCGUUCCACGGUUUGGAUCUACUGCAGCAACUGGAUCUCAGCGAUAAUCAGAUCGCGCAAUUAUCUACCGAACAAUUCCGUAAUUUGAGGAAUCUACGGAUUCUGAAUUUAUCUGGGAACAAGGUGAGAUCUCUGCCCAGGGACGUUUUCGAGAGAACCAAGCUGGAGAUUCUGGACCUGAGCAAUAACAAAUUCACUGUCGUACCAUCGCCGUCUUUCAUGGAAGUCGGCUACACUUUGAGGGAUCUAAAUCUAGCAGACAAUUUCGUGGACCAUCUGGACUCGACCGCCUUUCCAACGUCACAACUGGUCUCUCUUAAUUUGGCACAUAACAGACUCACUAUUCUGCCGGAUAACUCGUUCGUCUCGUUAGGGAAGCUUCUGAAUUUGAACGUAUCGCAAAACGUUCUCCAGGCGAACUUUAAAGAACUUUUUCAUUACUUGCCUGAGUUACGGCAGCUGUUCUUGGCCAGAUGCGGCCUUACGAACGUCCCGGUGCUGCCACUCACAAAUUUAAACCUCCUGGAUUUAUCUUUCAACCGCAUAGAGUCUACGUUCGAUAAACAGUUUCAAUACUUGAAGAAUCUAAAGAUUCUGGCAUUGGUGAACGACUCGUUGACUUCGAUGCCGAACGUCAAGCUGAGUUUACUGAGAGAACUUGACGUGUCCGGGAAUCCGAUAGAAGAGCUGACGAAGGACAGUUUCCUGGGAUAUCCAAGACUGGAAAAAUUGGAUUUACGUAAUUUAAACAAGACGAGAUUAGUGGACAAAGAUUGUCUCCGCGUUCUCAAGUACCUGAAGCACCUCCGAAUUCAGACGUGGCCCGAGGCCGAAGGCUUCCAUCUUCGACAUUUACUAACUGGAUUGCCACUACGGACGGUGGAGAUACAAGUGAUGGAACAUUUGUUGAAACACCAGAUUCAAAACGUUUUCUCCAAGCAAUUGAGAGAGUUGACCAUUUCUGGGAGCGAUUUGGAAGUAAUUUCCUCGGACGCGUUCUCCACUAUCGAAGGUGGUGAACUGAUAUUAAGGAUCAAAGAUACUCGAGUUCGUAGAUUGCAAUCAGACAUGUUUUUAUCGUUGACAAAGAGACUGUCUCAAUUAACGUUGGACUUGAGGAACAAUCAUAUCAACGAGCUGAGCCCUUCUGUUAUUUAUGGAAAUCUCUCGUGGGAGAGCGUUGGGACCAACAUGGUUGCAGGAGGUUUGCAGGUGUCAGGCAAUCCUUUGGAAUGCGACUGCGAGAUCGCCUGGUUGAGUUUGUGGUUGCGAAGGUGGCUUCGUGAAUCCAGACAGAUUCAUACAGCUUCGCAGUCAGACGCGAGGCAAUUGAGGACCAUAGCAGGAAGAGCUGUUUGCACGGAAACGACACCGUCAUACUCGUCGGACAAGGUUUUAUUGACCCUAGGGACCCCUCACACUGCCUGCCAAGCCUCUGCCCUCAGUUCGGGCAAUUACGAGCGAUUAGCCACCACUUGGUUGGCUAUCGUCGACAUUAUCCUUCUGACCAUAGUGGCUUACUGACCAUAAAGGACAGCUAUUGUUACAUAUCACCCACCAAUUUUCGAGUACCAUUGCCAUAGUCGUAAACGAAAUAGGAAUUGUGGAAAAGAAAAGAUAAAAGAGAAUGCCACUUUUACGAAUUGCAAGCUUAAUAUUAACGAUUCGACCAUAUCGUGUUACCAUAUCGCAAGAAGAAUGAACGAUUUUUCUAUUGCGAAAUUUUGUAAAUAAUCGACGCCUGUAUUAUUAAUCUACUAAUAGGGAAGGGAUAAUAAGAAAGAGAAACCAUGCAGUUAA